UAAACAUCAGACCUCCCUGAUCCCACCCUCUCCUCUCAGCCCCCCGCCCCUCCGCAGAGUUGGCUUCCUUAAGAAGAUCAGAGGGGGUGGUCUGGGGCCGGAAAAAACAAGUUGAAAGUGCUGCAGUGCCAGCAGCAGCCCAUCCACUGCUCAGCUGAGAGAGGGUGGAACCCCUCUCCUAGGCAAGCUUUACUGGUAGUUCUAACGCCAUCCCUGCCGUGCACUCUCAGGCCACCUUGGACGAGGCUCGUACAGGGGCCUGGGUCUCCCCAUCUGUAUACAGAAGUCUGUUUUGCACUGACUACAGGGUCCCAAUGUUCUCUAACUUCUCCCCACCUUAGGGUGGCUCUUAAACUCCCAGGUCCCAGGCAGGCACCUGCAUGACAGAGCUGGUGCACUUGGGCCAUACUGGGUAUUCCUGCUCACAAGAGCAAAGUAAGAAACUGGUGCCACUGGCGUCCACUUCCACCCUGCGGCAUGCAGCAGAGGGAUGGAGAGAGCAAAGGUUUUGAAAGCUGGAGUGAGAGAGGGAGGCCGCUGCUCUCCCAUCAGAGUUCCUCCCUUCCACUUCACACAAAACCCCCAUCAACAGAGGAGGAGACGGAGGCCCAGAGAAGGGGAUCCAGGUAGCAUCUGGUUUAUACAGGGCUCUCCUCUAGAUCACCUCCAAGUCCUCCUUAAAGUCUGUCCCAAAUUCCUCCUGCCUUUUAUUUGUUUGUAGUUCCGGAUUUUACUAAGCUGUGGUUCGGCAGGCUCUGGACCACCAUGUCAGAUAUACUGCCCCAGCUCUCCAGCACGGAGCCCCCACCCAUGCCAGGUCCCUUUCUCUCUGGGCUGCACCAUUCCCACCUAAGGGCAGCCUCCGGGGAUGUAAGUCCCUACUCCCAGACUCCUGAGAAUUGGGGGAGGGGAGGGAGCAGACUGGAACUCCAUCCGCAAAGGCCCAGGGAUCAACCACCUCACAAACAGACCUAAACACAGGCUGAGACUGGCCCAAGGUCACACACGAGGUCCCGGAGAGCUUGCCGAGUCCAAGCCUGCAAAGCCGGACAGGGGAAGUUCCUAUGGGCGGUCUGGGAUGACAGGUGACUAAAAAGGUCACCACCCGCAAGUGGGGAGAAGGCACCUGGCCAGGUGUUCCCAGCUCGGAUUUGUUGGAGCCCCUCCAUCCCCAGCCCAGGCCUGCUCAGGAGUUUUCUCACAAUGCUUCGUCUCUGCCUCUCUCUCCUGCUCAGAACAGAUGGCUCUGAGUCCCCACAAACACAGGCAUUUCUGUUCUGUCAUCUGAACAUGUUUAACACUUUCUAAAUGACAGAAGCUUCAUCCUCCUCUGGUCAUGGACACAGACCAUCAGAAAAGAAGAACCCCUUGAAAGACAUCGAAUCCAGCCUCUUCCCUUUCCCAUGGAGAGACUGCAUCUGAGAUAGGACCAGUGGCCUGCCCAAGACCAUUGCAAUGGACACCAUGUUUGUUCUCUUGUUUUUUAUUGUUUUGUGGGGGGGGGGGUCUUUUUUUCCCCUUUCAUUGCUGUUUUGUUUUGAUGUUCAGAGUCCAUCCCCUCUCCUAACAGCACCCUCGUUUCCUGAUCUUAGUGGAGUUAGACAUCAAGGCAUGGCAUAGGACAGUGAUGGUGAACCUUUUGAGCUCGGCGUGUCAGCAUUUUGA